GGGCUCGGCGCGGACCCGCCCGGGCGCACUCCUCCCAGUGGCUCUCGGCGUCCCGGCGUCCCGCCGCCCUGCCCGGAGCCGGCCGCGGUCCCCUCUACCCCUGAGGGCACUCCCGGCACCCAGCACAGAGGCUCGCCCGGGGAGGUCGCGACGGGAGGCUGGCCCGCGGUGGCCCGCGGCUCGCCUACCCGCAGGUGUUCCUUUGAUACAGUGGAUGGUGACUCUGCUGUUCUGCCUGGGAGUGGUUCAAAAUGCUGACCACACUCCUGCUCCUGUUCCUGACCCAAGGAAGCCCCCAUGCAGAGCACCCGUGUCCUCUCUGAAUGGGACCAGCAGCUGGAUGCUGAGUACCAAUAGCAUCUGCCCUAUACCGAAUCCGAGGAAGGCCCUGAAGGUCCAGUAACUUGCCUUAGGGACACAGGUAAGAAGGGACAGGGUCCAAAUGCACACUCAGUCCCACCUGUUUCCAAAGUCCCGGGGCCCAAUUAUGGUGCUAUCCAGCCACCUACCAGUCCAUACUGUAUUCCAGGGAACAGGCCUUGGGACUGCAGAGUUGGGGCCCCUCAAGGCCACCUGCUCAGGGCUGUCCCUCAACAGGUGAGGAAUCUGAAUAAGGGAGAAGCACAUAGGCUCAGCCACGUCCACCCGGGGAAGUUGGUGGCAGAGCCAGAGCAGAACCUGGGUGCCCUCUCCACCUUGGCUCUGAUAGAUCGUGAACCUCACAGGUAUGAUGAGGAUUCAGAGUUAGAGUAUACAAAGUACGUAGGACAGCACGAGGCCUGGACGUCCACAUCCUGCAGCCCCUGCCACCAAACUGUUCACCUGGGGAUCCUGCCUGACGCAAGCAACCUGCAUGUGGUAGAAACCCUCAGCUUGGCAGAACUGCAGACCACAGCAGCCCCAGUGUCCAUGUUAUAGCCAAUGUCCCAGUAGAGAUUCUUUCACCAUAGAUGUAAGAAUCCAGACACUUCUGAAUUCGAAAACCAUGGUGAUUUAUGUGGUAUGGCCACGAUUGAUAAAAUAUUCAAAGUUCUAUCUAUCUCCCCCAACUCCAGCAAGAACUUUGGCAGAACUUCUGUGCCACAGGCAGUACUAAGGAACUUGCCAAUUUUGCAUCCUCAAAAUAAAACAGGUUCCAAGAUAGGUGGCAGAAAGUGGAAAAUGCAAUAUUUCUUGAUUGGGUAACUAAGAACCAUGCAGCAGGCAGGAACCAUUUGAGGCCAGAGAAAUGUUCAUUUAAAGGUGUUUACUGACACCUGGAGAUAGAGGUUAAACUGCAAAUGCUACUUUUAUGUUUGUUUGUGUUACAUAAUUUCAUAAUGGUGGUACAGUCCAGGGCAGCUACCAAAAUGAAAAUUCCAAAGUCAUAAUUUUACUGCUGCGUUUCUCCAGCAGAGACUUUCUAUACCUCCCAGGUGAAUCUUAGGAAGAGCCCUGGAGGGCAGCUGCCAGCCGAAGGGCAGGGCGGGGCGCUGUUUUCACCAUGACCACCUGAUCUCUUCUCGGCUCUGCUUGGUGUGCACGACUGCUCCACUCGUCCGCGUUAACUCUCAUGAUGUGUUUGGGAUGCGCUCCCCCUCUUUGUAGGACUGAGUCAGGGAGAUGUUCUCCCUCCUCGGAGGAUUCCAUUCUGAGCCCAGUCGCCUUAGUAGAUGCGGGAGCUACUCCACGUGGCCUUUGAGGUCUGGGUACCCUGGGCAAAUUGAGAGGGAGGGGGUCUUGGCAGAGUAACCACUCAGAACUCAAGGUAAGAACCGUCCAUCUCUGGUUUUUGUGUUUGGCAGUAGAGGCAUGGGAACCCCUGCAUUCCUCGCAUAUGAGUAUCAGGACUUGAGGAAAAGUCUGUACUCAGAACUUGGUUGCCAGUGGGGAGGGGGGAGGGGGAGGUAGAGGUAGGGGAUUAAGAGGUACAAACUGUUGGGUAUAAAAUGAGCUACAAGAGGCGUUCCCUUCGUGGCUCAGCAGUUAAUGAACAUGACUAGGAUCCAUGAGGAUGUGGGUUUGAUCCCUGGCCUCGCUCAGUGGGUUAAGGAUCUGGCUUAGGUGUAGAUCACAGAUGCAGCUCCAAUCCCAUGCUGCUGUGGCUGUGGUGUCAGCUGGCAGCUCUAGCUCCGAUUCUACCCCUAUCCUGGGAACUUCCAUAUGCCGUGGAUGUGGCCCUAAAAAGACAAAAAUAAGCUAGAAGGAUAUAUUGUACAAUAUGGGGAAUAUGGCACAUAUUUUAUAUAUAUUUCAAAAUUGCAAAUCACUAUAUUGCACACCUCUAGGAGUUCCCACUGUGGUGCAAUGGGAUCGGUGGUGUCCCGGAGCACCAGGACACAGGUUUGAUCCCCAGCCCAGCACAGUGGGUUAAGGAUCCAGCACUGCCGCAACUGUGGCACAGAUUCAAUCCCUGGCCUGGGAACUCCAUACAUGGGGUGGCCAAAAAAGAAAACAAAAUAAAAACCUAUACUUAUAAAAAGGAAAAGAAAAAUUAAGUAAAAAAUUGUUUAAAAUUUUUUUUAAAACUUAUAUAUUAGGUUACUGUUCAACCUCCUAGGGUGGGGAAAACACAAGCCAUGAGGGGUUGUAUUUCCCUCAGAGGGUUGUUGAAGGCAUAGACCCCUUUCCCAGACAAGCAUCAUUGCACAGAUGAGUGCAGGGCUCCUGGGAGCCACUGAUACCCACCCCUGACCCCAGGGCAAUAGGAAAGCUGGCAAAGGACACAACAACAACAAAAAAA
ensembl:lncRNA